rnacentral:rRNA from 1 species
UACAGAGGUCCCGAGCGUUGUUCGGAUUCACUGGGCGUAAAGGGUGCGUAGGUGGUCGGGUAAGUCUGAUGUGAAAUCUCUGAGCUCAACUCAGAAACUGCAUUGGAUACUAUUCGGCUAGAGGAGUGGAGGGGGGACUGGAAUACUUGGUGUAGCAGUGAAAUGCGUAGAUAUCAAGUGGAACACCAGUGGCGAAGGCGAGUCCCUGGACACUUCCUGACACUGAGGCACGAAAGCUAGGGGAGCAAACAGG